CUCUUCUGUCCCCUUCUUUCUAGGACCCCAGUUAAAAAAAAAAAAAACAAAAACUAGCCCAAUGUCUGUUGAUGCCCAUUAAUCACUAACACAGUGUCUGACCCCUCCAUUAAAUUUUGAUGGUAUCUCUUGGCUCCCCAUUGUCCCGUUAACCCAAUGUCUGCUGAUUCCCAAUUUCCCACAUUGCUUCAUGCGGUUCCUUAGUCACCCUUGGCUACUGUACUUCCCCCAAGAUUGCAUCUCCAUGUUUGCAUGGUCAUGAUCCCUGGAAGAUGGUGAUGAGGAUGAGGUCCCAGCCUCAUAGACCUUUUCCUCUGAGUUCCCCCCAAGGCACAAUGGAAUGAUGGACCCAGGGUGGGCCAGGGAUGAUCUGGAGAUCUCAGGAGACCACAAGCUGGGCUUCCUGUCUACUACAUGAGUAUGGUGUGAGCAGAACAGUGAAAGCUGUCUAUGUUGGUUCAAAUUCUGGUGCCAACACUGAUCCACUUAGGGACCCUCAGCCUGCCCAGAAACCUCCUCUGGGCCUCAAUUUUCUCACUUGUAAAAUGGGAUUAUGGGAGAAUGAAGUGACUUUUUUUGGGUCACAUGAUGGAUGGGAUCCAAGCCAGCAGGGCCCAAUGACAGCAUCCUGUUAAUAUUAGUCAUCAGUCAACAUAAGCAUCUGACUAUCCUCUGUAUGCCCAAGCCUCAUGAAGGGAAACAAUUUAUUGUAAAUGACUUUUGAUUAUUUCUCUUAUAUAUUUAUUGUAACAAUAUUAUAAUACUUACGUAUAUGUAUAUGCAUAUACCCGUAUAUACGGAAGGCUUUAUUUUUUAGAGUAGUUUUAGGUUCAAAGCAAAAUUGGGUAGAAAUUACAGAGGUUUCCCAUAUAUCCCCUAAUCCACAUAUGCAUAGCCUCCCACAUUAUCAGCAUUCCUCUCAGAGUAGUAUAUUUGUUACAAUUGGUGAACCUCCACUGACACUCAUUACCACCCCAAGUCUAUAGGUUAUAUUAGGGUUCAUCCUUGGUGUAACACCAUAGAAUGUGUCUUGUACUUUCUGCUUGUUGGAGCAAGUGGAUCAUGGCAUGUUUCCACUGUUAUACACAGAGUAGUUUCACUGCCCUAAAAAUCCUCUGUGUUCUGCCUGUCAUCCCUUCAUCUCCUCUAAUCCUGGCAACAUUUUUUCUGUCUCCAUAGUUUUACCUUUGAUCUUUUAUAUCAUAUAGUUGAAAUUAUACAGUGUGUAGCCUUUUCAAAUUGACUUCUUUCACUUAGUAAUGUGGAUUUCAGUUUCCUCCAUGUCUUUUCAUGGCUUGAUAAUGCAUUUCUUUUUAGAGCCAAAUUAUGUUCCAUCGUCUGGAUGUUUAUUUAUUCACCUACUGAAGGACUGUUGGAUGCUUCCUUUUGGCAAUUAUGAGGAAAGCUGUUAUAAAUAUCUGUGCAGGCUUUUUGUGUGGACAUAACUGAAAUAUUUUUAAAGUUAUAUUUAUUGAGGUAUAAUUUACAUUCAGUAAUAGUCACACUUUUUAGUGUAGAGUUCUGAGUUUUGACAGUUGUAUCUAAUCAUGCAAUCAACACCACAAUCAAGAUGAAGAACAGGCCCCUCACUUCCCUAACUUCUUUCCUAUCCCUUUUUAGUCCCUUUUCCCACUCCCAGCCCUUGGCAAUCACCAGUCUGUUUCCGUCUCUAUAGUUCUGCCUUUUCCAUAAUAUUGUAUAAGUGGAGUCCUUGUGUGUGUGUGUGUGUGUGUGUGUGUUUUGUACGUGUAUGUAUAUCUCCUUUUGAGUCGGAGUGCUUUCAUUUAAUGUGAUGUAUCUGAGAUUCAUCCAUAUGGUUCUAUGAAAAACAAAUGGAAAAUAAGGUGAUGAAAAGAUGCUCAACAUCUUUAAUUAUCAGGAAAAUGUAAAUCAAACCACAAUGAGAUACUACUAUAGAAUGGCUUUUAGAAUGGCUAAAAAUGAAAACGUGCCAUAAAUUGGCAAGAAUACAGACCAAUGGAAAUUUUCAUGCAUUGCUUGUAGGAUUGUAAAACGGUCUGUCCACUAUGCACAAAAGUUUGGCAGCUUCUUAUACUAUUAACCAUACAUUUAUCAUAUGACUCAGCAACUCCACACUUAGGUAUUUACCCUAGAUGAAAGAAAAAUUCUGUUUACAUGAAAACCUAUACUCAGAUGUUCACAGCAAUUGUAUAAUUGCCCAAAUUAGGAAGUAACACAAAUGUACAUCAGUGGAUGAGUGAUUAAACAAAUUGUGUACACCAAUACUAUGGAGGGCUGCUCAGACAUAAAGAAAUGAUUUAUUGACACUUACUACAACAUGGAUGAAUCUCAAAAGUGCUGUUGUAUUUUAGGUAAACCAUGUGAUAACUUGAAUUACAUUUGAUAAAAGAUUUAUAAGUGUAAAAACUAGAUUUAUAUAUUUUAAUUUUAUAUGUGCCUGUCAUUACAUACUAUAGAAAAUUGUGUCUACAGUAUGUUAUAUAGCAUAUUGUAAUAUUUAUUACUGUAUAUUCCUUGUGACAAUAAAAUAGUUUGUAUUUUAUAUAAU
rnacentral:lncRNA from 10 species